UUCUUCUCUACCUUACUAUUAUUUUCUUACACAUUUAUAAGAGAAAGAAUGUAUUGAAAGAAGCCUACUCUCAUAAUUUAUGGGAUGGUGCAAGGAAAACAGUGGCAACUCUGUGGGAUGGACAUGCAGCCGUUUGGCAUGGUUAUGAAGUUCAUGGAAUGGAAAAAAUACCAGAAGAUGGACCAGCACUUAUAAUUUUUUAUCAUGGAGCUAUUCCUAUAGAUUUUUACUAUUUCAUGGCUAAAAUAUUUAUACACAAAGGCAGAACUUGCCGAGUAGUAGCUGAUCACUUUGUCUUUAAAAUUCCAGGGUUAAUGGAAGAUUAGAUUUCUGAUUGCUGAUGGGAUAUCAUUUCUGAAUCCCAUUAGAAUCCUAUCUCUGGAAUCUCUGCCCUGCCACUUCUUAGAUGUGUGACUUUGAGCAAGCUAUUAUUCUGGUUUAGUUUAUUACUGGAUGUGUUUUGUGCUCUACAUGGACCAAGAGAAAAAUGUGUUGAAAUUCUGAGGAGUGGCCACUUGUUAGCUAUCUCACCAGGUGGAGUUCGAGAAGCCCUAAUUAGUGAUGAAACUUAUAACAUCGUAUGGGGUCAUCGCAGAGGCUUUGCUCAGGUUGCAAUUGAUGCAAAAGUGCCCAUUAUUCCUAUGUUUACACAAAAUAUU
rnacentral:lncRNA from 10 species